GGGUUGUGAGGUUAAGCGACUAAGCGUACACGGUGGAUGCCCUGGCAGUCAGAGGCGAUGAAGGACGUGCUAAUCUGCGAUAAGCGCCGGUAAGGUGAUAUGAACCGUUAUAACCGGCGAUUUCCGAAUGGGGAAACCCAGUGUGACUCGUCACACUAUCAUUAACUGAAUCCAUAGGUUAAUGAGGCGAACCGGGGGAACUGAAACAUCUAAGUACCCCGAGGAAAAGAAAUCAACCGAGAUUCCCCCAGUAGCGGCGAGCGAACGGGGAGGAGCCCAGAGCCUGAAUCAGCAUGUGUGUUAGUGGAAGCGUCUGGAAAGGCGCGCGAUACAGGGUGACAGCCCCGUACACAAAAGCGCAUGUGCUGUGAGCUCGAUGAGUAGGGCGGGACACGUGGUAUCCUGUCUGAAUAUGGGGGGACCAUCCUCCAAGGCUAAAUACUCCUGACUGACCGAUAGUGAACCAGUACCGUGAGGGAAAGGCGAAAAGAACCCCGGCGAGGGGAGUGAAAAAGAACCUGAAACCGUGUACGUACAAGCAGUGGGAGCACCCUUUUGGGUGUGACUGCGUACCUUUUGUAUAAUGGGUCAGCGACUUAUAUUCUGUAGCAAGGUUAACCGUAUAGGGGAGCCGGAGGGAAACCGAGUCUUAACCGGGCGUUAAGUUGCAGGGUAUAGACCCGAAACCCGGUGAUCUAGCCAUGGGCAGGUUGAAGGUUGGGUAACACUAACUGGAGGACCGAACCGACUAAUGUUGAAAAAUUAGCGGAUGACCUGUGGCUGGGGGUGAAAGGCCAAUCAAACCGGGAGAUAGCUGGUUCUCCCCGAAAGCUAUUUAGGUAGCGCCUCGUGAAUUCAUCUCCGGGGGUAGAGCACUGUUUCGGCUAGGGGGCCAUCCCGGCUUACCAACCCGAUGCAAACUGCGAAUACCGGAGAAUGUUAUCACGGGAGACACACGGCGGGUGCUAACGUCCGUCGUGAAGAGGGAAACAACCCAGACCGCCAGCUAAGGUCCCAAAGUCAUGGUUAAGUGGGAAACGAUGUGGGAAGGCCCAGACAGCCAGGAUGUUGGCUUAGAAGCAGCCAUCAUUUAAAGAAAGCGUAAUAGCUCACUGGUCGAGUCGGCCUGCGCGGAAGAUGUAACGGGGCUAAACCAUGCACCGAAGCUGCGGCAGCGACACUAUGUGUUGUUGGGUAGGGGAGCGUUCUGUAAGCCUGUGAAGGUGGCCUGUGAGGGUUGCUGGAGGUAUCAGAAGUGCGAAUGCUGACAUAAGUAACGAUAAAGCGGGUGAAAAGCCCGCUCGCCGGAAGACCAAGGGUUCCUGUCCAACGUUAAUCGGGGCAGGGUGAGUCGACCCCUAAGGCGAGGCCGAAAGGCGUAGUCGAUGGGAAACGGGUUAAUAUUCCCGUACUUGGUGUUACUGCGAAGGGGGGACGGAGAAGGCUAUGUUGGCCGGGCGACGGUUGUCCCGGUUUAAGCGUGUAGGUGUGUGUUCCAGGUAAAUCCGGUUCACUUUAACACUGAGGCGUGAUGACGAGGCACUACGGUGCUGAAGCAACAAAUGCCCUGCUUCCAGGAAAAGCCUCUAAGCAUCAGGUAACAUCAAAUCGUACCCCAAACCGACACAGGUGGUCAGGUAGAGAAUACCAAGGCGCUUGAGAGAACUCGGGUGAAGGAACUAGGCAAAAUGGUGCCGUAACUUCGGGAGAAGGCACGCUGACACGUAGGUGAAGUGAUUUACUCAUGGAGCUGAAGUCAGUCGAAGAUACCAGCUGGCUGCAACUGUUUAUUAAAAACACAGCACUGUGCAAACACGAAAGUGGACGUAUACGGUGUGACGCCUGCCCGGUGCCGGAAGGUUAAUUGAUGGGGUCAGCGCAAGCGAAGCUCCUGAUCGAAGCCCCGGUAAACGGCGGCCGUAACUAUAACGGUCCUAAGGUAGCGAAAUUCCUUGUCGGGUAAGUUCCGACCUGCACGAAUGGCGUAAUGAUGGCCAGGCUGUCUCCACCCGAGACUCAGUGAAAUUGAACUCGCUGUGAAGAUGCAGUGUACCCGCGGCAAGACGGAAAGACCCCGUGAACCUUUACUAUAGCUUGACACUGAACAUUGAGCCUUGAUGUGUAGGAUAGGUGGGAGGCUUUGAAGUGUGGACGCCAGUCUGCAUGGAGCCGGCCUUGAAAUACCACCCUUUAAUGUUUGAUGUUCUAACGUGGACCCGUGAUCCGGGUUGCGGACAGUGUCUGGUGGGUAGUUUGACUGGGGCGGUCUCCUCCUAAAGAGUAACGGAGGAGCACGAAGGUUGGCUAAUCCUGGUCGGACAUCAGGAGGUUAGUGCAAUGGCAUAAGCCAGCUUGACUGCGAGCGUGACGGCGCGAGCAGGUGCGAAAGCAGGUCAUAGUGAUCCGGUGGUUCUGAAUGGAAGGGCCAUCGCUCAACGGAUAAAAGGUACUCCGGGGAUAACAGGCUGAUACCGCCCAAGAGUUCAUAUCGACGGCGGUGUUUGGCACCUCGAUGUCGGCUCAUCACAUCCUGGGGCUGAAGUAGGUCCCAAGGGUAUGGCUGUUCGCCAUUUAAAGUGGUACGCGAGCUGGGUUUAGAACGUCGUGAGACAGUUCGGUCCCUAUCUGCCGUGGGCGCUGGAGAACUGAGGGGGGCUGCUCCUAGUACGAGAGGACCGGAGUGGACGCAUCACUGGUGUUCGGGUUGUCAUGCCAAUGGCACUGCCCGGUAGCUAAAUGCGGAAGAGAUAAGUGCUGAAAGCAUCUAAGCACGAAACUUGCCCCGAGAUGAGUUCUCCCUGAGACUUAAAGUCUCCUGAAGGAACGUUGAAGACGACGACGUUGAUAGGCCGGGUGUGUAAGCGCAGCGAUGCGUUGAGCUAACCGGUACUAAUGAACCGUGAGGCUUAACCUUACAACGCCGAAG
rnacentral:rRNA from 1 species